GAUGAAGAACGUAGCGAAAUGCGAUAAGUAAUGCGAAUUGCAGAAUCCGUGAGUCAUCGAAUCUUUGAACGCACAUUGCGCCCUCUGGUAUUCCGGAGGGCAUGCCUGUUCGAGCGUCAUUAUCACCCCUCAAGCCCGGCUUGUUGUUGGAUGCAGCGCUUAUCCCGCUCCUCCCAAAGAUAAUGACGGCGUCUGCGACGACUCCUGUACACUGAGCUUUCGGGCACGUACACGGCUAGAAGUCCAGACCCGGUCGCCGUCCCCCCCGCGGGGACACCCAUUACCACAAGGUUGACCUCGAAUCAGGUAGGAAUACCCGCUGAACUUAAGCAUAUCAAUAAGCGGAGGA
rnacentral:misc_RNA from 1 species